AGGAUUUAUCCCGUGGUAUCGGUAGGUACUAAGCCACCACUAGUCCACGUUGUUGAAGUACCCAUAUAGAGUAUUACUAUCCAGUCACCAAGUCUCUUCCGGGACACCCUUUGACUUGCCACAAAGGCUUGGCCACUAAGGCUCACGCCUUGAACUGAUCACAAGGUAGCAACACCUUGCACUCUCUCUUCUCUAGGCCUAUCCUAGCACUAAUCUCACUCUCCUAAACUUGUGCUAAGCCUUUGAUGAAUCGCUUAUGCACUUUUGGUGGCUUGAAU
rnacentral:lncRNA from 1 species